rnacentral:rRNA from 1 species
UACGAAGGGGGCGAGCGUUGUUCGGAAUUACUGGGCGUAAAGGGCGCGUAGGCGGUCCUUCAAGUCAGGCGUGAAAGCCCCGGGCUCAACCUGGGAACCGCGCUUGAGACUGGCGGACUCGAGUUCGGGAGAGGAUGGUGGGAUUCCCAGUGUAGAGGUGAAAUUCGUAGAUAUUGGGAAGAACACCGAUGGCGAAGGCAGCCAUCUGGACCGACACUGACGCUGAGGCGCGAAAGCGUGGGGAGCAAACAGG